rnacentral:rRNA from 1 species
AAAGUUGUUCUCAGUUCGGAUUGUAGUCUGCAACUCGACUAUAUGAAGCUGGAAUCGCUAGUAAUCGUAGAUCAGCAUGCUACGGUGAAUACGUUCCCGGGUCUUGUACACACCGCCCGUCACACCACGAGAGUUUGUAACACCCGAAGCCGGUGGAGUAACCAUUUGGAGCUAGCCGUCGAAGGUGGGACAAAUGAUUGGGGUGAAGUCGUAACAAGGUAGCCGUAUCGGAAGGUGCGGCUGGAUCACCUCCUUUCUAAGGA